rnacentral:rRNA from 1 species
UACGGAGGGUGCAAGCGUUAUCCGGAUUCACUGGGUUUAAAGGGUGCGUAGGCGGGUUGGUAAGUCCGUGGUGAAAUCCCCAAGCUUAACUUGGGAACUGCCGUGGAUACUAUCAAUCUUGAAUAUCGUGGAGGUAAGCGGAAUAUGUCAUGUAGCGGUGAAAUGCUUAGAGAUGACAUAGAACACCCAUUGCGAAGGCAGCUUACUACGCCUAUAUUGACGCUGAGGCACGAAAGCGUGGGGAUCAAACAGG